AUUGAACGCUGGCGGCAUGCCUUACACAUGCAAGUCGAACGGCAGCACGGGUGCUUGCACCUGGUGGCGAGUGGCGAACGGGUGAGUAAUACAUCGGAACAUGUCCUGUAGUGGGGGAUAGCCCGGCGAAAUCCGGAUUAAUACCGCAUACGAUCUACGGAUGAAAGCGGGGGACCUUCGGGCCUCGCGCUAUAGGGUUGGCCGAUGGCUGAUUAGCUAGUUGGUGGGGUAAAGGCCUACCAAGGCGACGAUCAGUAGCUGGUCUGAGAGGACGACCAGCCACACUGGGACUGAGACACGGCCCAGACUCCUACGGGAGGCAGCAGUGGGGAAUUUUGGACAAUGGGCGAAAGCCUGAUCCAGCAAUGCCGCGUGUGUGAAGAAGGCCUUCGGGUUGUAAAGCACUUUUGUCCGGAAAGAAAUCCUUGGCCCUAAUACGGUCGGGGGAUGACGGUACCGGAAGAAUAAGCACCGGCUAACUACGUG
rnacentral:rRNA from 1 species